rnacentral:rRNA from 2 species
AAAUUGAAGAGUUUGAUCAUGGCUCAGAUUGAACGCUGGCGGCAGGCCUAACACAUGCAAGUCGAACGGUAACAGGAAGCAGCUUGCUGCUUUGCUGACGAGUGGCGGACGGGUGAGUAAUGUCUGGGAAACUGCCUGAUGGAGGGGGAUAACUACUGGAAACGGUGGCUAAUACCGCAUAACGUCGCAAGACCAAAGAGGGGGACCUUCGGGCCUCUUGCCAUCAGAUGUGCCCAGAUGGGAUUAGCUUGUUGGUGAGGUAACGGCUCACCAAGGCGACGAUCCCUAGCUGGUCUGAGAGGAUGACCAGCCACACUGGAACUGAGACACGGUCCAGACUCCUACGGGAGGCAGCAGUGGGGAAUAUUGCACAAUGGGCGCAAGCCUGAUGCAGCCAUGCCGCGUGUAUGAAGAAGGCCUUCGGGUUGUAAAGUACUUUCAGCGGGGAGGAAGGUGUUGUGGUUAAUAACCGCAGCAAUUGACGUUACCCGCAGAAGAAGCACCGGCUAACUCCGUGCCAGCAGCCGCGGUAAUACGGAGGGUGCAAGCGUUAAUCGGAAUUACUGGGCGUAAAGCGCACGCAGGCGGUCUGUCAAGUCGGAUGUGAAAUCCCCGGGCUCAACCUGGGAACUGCAUUCGAAACUGGCAGGCUUGAGUCUUGUAGAGGGGGGUAGAAUUCCAGGUGUAGCGGUGAAAUGCGUAGAGAUCUGGAGGAAUACCGGUGGCGAAGGCGGCCCCCUGGACAAAGACUGACGCUCAGGUGCGAAAGCGUGGGGAGCAAACAGGAUUAGAUACCCUGGUAGUCCACGCCGUAAACGAUGUCUACUUGGAGGUUGUGCCCUUGAGGCGUGGCUUCCGGAGCUAACGCGUUAAGUAGACCGCCUGGGGAGUACGGCCGCAAGGUUAAAACUCAAAUGAAUUGACGGGGGCCCGCACAAGCGGUGGAGCAUGUGGUUUAAUUCGAUGCAACGCGAAGAACCUUACCUGGUCUUGACAUCCACGGAAGUUUUCAGAGAUGAGAAUGUGCCUUCGGGAACCGUGAGACAGGUGCUGCAUGGCUGUCGUCAGCUCGUGUUGUGAAAUGUUGGGUUAAGUCCCGCAACGAGCGCAACCCUUAUCCUUUGUUGCCAGCGAUUAGGUCGGGAACUCAAAGGAGACUGCCAGUGAUAAACUGGAGGAAGGUGGGGAUGACGUCAAGUCAUCAUGGCCCUUACGACCAGGGCUACACACGUGCUACAAUGGCGCAUACAAAGAGAAGCGACCUCGCGAGAGCAAGCGGACCUCAUAAAGUGCGUCGUAGUCCGGAUUGGAGUCUGCAACUCGACUCCAUGAAGUCGGAAUCGCUAGUAAUCGUGGAUCAGAAUGCCACGGUGAAUACGUUCCCGGGCCUUGUACACACCGCCCGUCACACCAUGGGAGUGGGUUGCAAAAGAAGUAGGUAGCUUAACCUUCGGGAGGGCGCUUACCACUUUGUGAUUCAUGACUGGGGUGAAGUCGUAACAAGGUAACCGUAGGGGAACCUGCGGUUGGAUCACCUCCUUACCUGAAAGAAGC